rnacentral:misc_RNA from 1 species
UGUGUUGCUUACCUACCGAAAGGAAUUGAAACGUGUCGUUGCCCCUAUUCGCCCGAUGCCCUUUGUGGGUGUGGGGUGGACGCUAGGCACGCUACGUGUUCCUCGCACGCCUUGCCUUGUUGCGGGGUUGCAGAGGCGCAUGUGGCUGUUGCUCGUUCUCUCGGAUGCGGAACGCCAAGCACGGGUGCGGGGCCUCGGCCUCUGCUUGCCCAAGCUAUGCAUUUGUCCCUUGAAGCGAACGACUGCCACGAUCGUCUUGAUCUCGUCGUAGCCUAUGCGCUGGACGUGGCUCAUGCGAUCGUCGGCGUCGUCGAGGAAUGCUACCUGGUUGAUCCUGCCAGUAGUCAU